GAAGGCAUAUCUAUACAUUUUAAAAAAGAAGCAGCUAUUUUUUCUUAAGCUUUAUUGAAGUUAUAGUCUUGCCAAAUUGUUCUUAAACUCCCCAACCUGAGACGGUGAUUAAUGGGCUGAGAACAAAAGAGGCUGUAAGUAUUGUCAAUGCUAAGUGUUUCUUUGCUUUUAUUUACAAUUCUCUGGCUUGAAAGCUAGGUAUGCUGUUGUCUUAAUCAGACUGGUAAUUAAAGUGAUAUCUAAUGAUGUCUGCUUAACAAAGUCACCUGGAAGUAUUCUGGAUGGGCUGAGAACCAUAAUAGGGCUAGCUUGGGGUGAUUGUGUUGUGGGGAGGGAUUGUGCUGCCCCAGGUGUGGCUGGGGGCAGUAGCUGGUUUGGCCAUAAAUAGAUAGGGGGCUGGGGCCUCUGUUUUGCUGUUUGCAUGGCUACAUCUCAUGAAAGGUGCAGUAUUCUGCUACUGCCACCAGAAAAAGUGGUAGAACAGUUGCAUCUAGUGGAGUCAUUUGUCUUGAAACAAGGAACGUCUACCAUCCACCAAAUGUCCCAUUGACCUUCUACUGGGCUGGUAGAACAGGAAAUGCUGGAGCUCACCCCAGGUGCAGCUGCAAUGCUGAAGGUCAAGUGACUUGACAUGCUUGGGCAAAGCAGUGAUUCCUAAAAAACAUUCCCAAAGCUCCUUCAUGUGGUUUUGGAGAGAAGCAUUCCUGAAGAGAAUUCAGGGUUCAGGCCAUUUGAGUAUUUGACCUGGAGACACUAAAAGGUUUCCUGAACUUCUUCAGUAUAAAGUCAGGCUAUCUCAAAACCUGGAAUUGCCAUAUUAUGCUACUGAGUUAUGGCGGAAAAGACCCUUUGGGAACAGUUUGCAUGAUGCCCUUGUUGCAUUCAUGUUACCAAAAAUGAGGACUUUUGACAUCAUUCUGAAGUCAUAAAGAUCACAAUUAAAAGCAAACAAAAUUGUGGAUCUUAAGACAUUCAUAGUCUUAAGAAACAGAGCAAGCUUACCGAUAUUGCUUCUGUCUGUUAAUAGCAGCAGUUGAAUGAGUAUAAUCGGAAAUGUAUGCUGGUCAGAAAACACAAUACAUCUGAGGUAAAUCGGAAAUUAACGUGCAAAAUUGUUGUUUUUUUUUUUUUUUUAAAAAAACUCAUUCAAGCUGGUCUCGUCUGAGUUUUUUUUCCUAUAUCUAAUUAAAAUAG
rnacentral:lncRNA from 1 species